rnacentral:rRNA from 1 species
UGCCUCCUACGGGGGGCAGCAGUAGGGAAUCUUCCACAAUGGACGAAAGUCUGAUGGAGCAACGCCGCGUGAGUGAAGAAGGGUUUCGGCUCGUAAAGCUCUGUUGGGAGUGAAGAAAGAUAGAGGUAGUAACUGGCCUUUAUUUGACGGUAAUUAAUUAGAAAGUAACGGCUAACUACCUGCCAGCAGCCGCGGUAAUACGUAGGUGGCAAGCGGUGUCCGGAUUUAUUGGG